UGUACUUAAAGAUAUAGUAGAUAUCUCUAUGAUGAGCUGAUAAAUCCUAUAUAAGAGCACUACACUUAGACAUCUUAUACACUAAGUCCUGGUACCGAACCACAGCCGAUCCCAACAUCAAAUUGCUUAAAUGGACACCAAAAAAAUCAUCCUCUUUGCAGUUUUUGCAUGCAUCUUAUUAUCAGUAUGUGUUGAAGAAUCGUSUGCUCAAAUGCAUCUUCGAUGGGGCCGAGAACUUGAAGACCAGGACAGAGAUGCCCUUCUAAAAUGGAUAUGGAAUAAGAGAUCRGCCCAGAAAAACAAAAAAUUCAAGUCGAAUGGCUGGGAAUGAGAAAUCUUUCCUYUGAAAAGAUAAAUGUCUGGGUGAAUCCAAAUCUAUUUGCUAAUGUAUAAUUUGUUUAUUGGAAUAAAGAUAUAAGAAACAAUU